UCACUAGCUCUGCAUCAACAGUGGCUUGCUGGGCGCAGACCGUUUCCUGUAGGACUAAUUCCCUGCAGCCUGGUAGCAUGCAAACAGAACUCAGCAGGAGCGUUAUWACCGGGCACCUGUCACUCGGCCGUGAGCUAUACGGAAAGACGCCUCUCAGAUAGAGUAAUUCCAGUUUUCACACAACACCACUGAUUUCGCAGCAGGACUUGGAGGCAAUCUGCGUUUUGCUGCGGCAGACAUCAGCGUCACUGUCAGGCGGAGGAGCAAAGCAGGGACGGCACAUGUGCAUAUGCGAUUCUCUUUCGACGGGGGCUUAAAUGGAACUUCGUGCUGGGUGGCUGUCGGCACAGAGUCUUGUUUUGAUCGUCGCUAUGGGAACGGACAGCGUCUGACCCACAGAUACGAGAGCAAAGGGAUUUGAUCGAUAGACCGAGGCAACAUUAGGUUUCUUCAGCUAAACCAGACAGAUGAGGAUGUCAAGUCUGAGCAAUUUGAAUGCGCGAACCAGAAACAUCCCUGCUAAUAUUCAGAACAGUCUCCAAUCUAAUGAAACAUAGGAAGGACGCUGCUUCAUGGGAGUCCUAUCAUCUGAGCACAUAAACACACAGCCUAAGGGACAAAUGUGUGCAGCAUAAUGAUAAUUUAAAAAAAAAAAAGCCAGUGGGGAGCAGGAACCAUUUGUCUCAGGGUCCAGAGUUCAACUCGGAUGGUGCAGACGCGAAACCACGAGGGACGAGUACGUCAGAGUUUCCGAAGAAGAGCCUGAUUUGAAUGCCUCCUAACAAACACGAAGGACCGGUUACAUGCUCAAGAGAUUGUAGGCGUUUGCGCUGAAUAGGCGCUCUUUGUUUACCAAGGCCAGAAACCCUAGCGCGCAGGGGAAUAAGAAGGUAUCUGUCGGAAAGUUUAAACAGCUGUGUGUUUUUGAAAAAUGUU